UGAUUAACAUUUUCUUUUUGCGUUAUUGACAAACCUCUUCAUUAUUUCUCCGUCUAUGUACAAUUAUAGUGUAAUUAUGUAAAGGAACAUUUUUUCGUUUUCAUUACAUAAAGAUAACUUUGUUUUUAAGUGCACGAUUAUUUUUAUUCUAAAGUAAACAGGACACUUCUUGGUUGUUUUUGUUUCUGUAUCAUCACCACUUAGAUCUAGAGAUUCUUGUUGUGCUUACAGAUGAACACUGCUGUUUGCUUCUUGCUGCUAAGCUGCAUGUGCGUAGCUGUUAAAGCAGCCCCGACAUGUACAUUUCGUCAUAGGGCUUAUAACAUUGGCGAGGCUCUCCCUGUGGUCAACAACAUAUCGUGUACAUGUGUGGCGUACAAUUCUGGAGCCAGAACUCAUUGUGAUUAUUCCAAGUUUGAUGGGAAACACAGCGCUGAUUUCCCUGGCAAAUAAAAGACAAGAAAUAGAAAACCAAAGCAAGCAACAACUGACCCGUCAUUAGAAGAAAAAGAUGUUAUUAUUGAGAUAAUCAUCAAGGAGCUAAUAAAGAAAUUUGACGAACACAA